rnacentral:rRNA from 1 species
AGCAGCCGCGGUAAUUCCAGCUCCAAUAGCGUAUAUUAAAGUUGUUGCAGUUAAAAAGCUCGUAGUUGAAUUUCGGGAUCAAUGGGUUGGUCAUGCCCUCGGUAUGUACUGAUUUCAUUGGUUCUCACCUUCUAAGGAACCAUGAUGUCAUUUAUUUGAUGUUGUGGGAAAUUAGGACUGUUACCUUGAAAAAUUAGAGUGUUUAAAGCAGGCUAACGCUUGAAUACAUUAGCAUGGAAUAAUGAAAUAGGACAUCCGAUUCUAUUUUGUUGGUUUCUAGGAUCGAUGUAAUGAUUAAUAGGGAUAGUUGGGGGCAUUAGUAUUCAAUUGUCAGAGGUGAAAUUCUUGGAUUUAUUGAAGACUAACUACUGCGAAAGCAUUUGCCAAGGAUGUUUUCAUUAAUCAAGAACGAAGUUAGGGGAUCGAAGACGAUCAGAUACCGUCGUAGUCUUAACCAUGAAACUAUGCCGACUAGGGGAUCGGAUGAUGCUUAUUUUUUUCAAUGACUCAUUCGGCACCU